rnacentral:lncRNA from 1 species
CCUCAAUACGUUUGCUAGGCGGUGCCAAGAGCACUGCUUCGAUCCCUGGAAAAGGGACAGUCACCGAUUACCCGUGGCUCGUUGCAUUCUCACGUUACGAUGCACGGUCCCUUGUUACCUGAAGAUUCGCAGGAAUGCAUACAAUGCUCCCGACUCCCACACAGAAAACGAUAAUACUACUAACUCUAGUGGUUGACAUCGCUGCUAUUUAGUCCAGAACAGAGUUUCUCUGGAAGAGGCUCCUGCAAGAACAAAGUCCGCACGCGUCACCUACACAUCCCACGCCCAUUGGCGUGGAAAAUAUUUCCUGACAAAAGGCCGAGUUGUUCACCAUCAAGGAGUUACUACCGUUUCCACCAUGGAGUUCAUGCCGAUUCCCCCAUUUUCUCUUUUAAUUCCUUUCAAAGGAACGGGAGCAGGACGCACUGUCAAAUAAAACCUGUAGACGGUUGCCCAUCUACUAGUUGAAAAUUACACUCCGGCUUAGCAUCGACGGAAU